GACGAACGCUGGCGGCGUGCCUAAUACAUGCAAGUAGAACGCUGAAGGAGGAGCUUGCUUCUCUGGAUGAGUUGCGAACGGGUGAGUAACGCGUAGGUAACCUGCCUGGUAGCGGGGGAUAACUAUUGGAAACGAUAGCUAAUACCGCAUAAGAGUAGAUGUUGCAUGACAUUUGCUUAAAAGGUGCAAUUGCAUCACUACCAGAUGGACCUGCGUUGUAUUAGCUAGUUGGUGGGGUAACGGCUCACCAAGGCGACGAUACAUAGCCGACCUGAGAGGGGGACCGGCCCCACUGGAACGGAGAACCGGCCCAGACUCCUACGGGAGGCAGCAGUAGGGAAUCUUCGGCAAUGGACGGAAGCCUGACGGAGCAACGCCGGGUGAGUGAAGAAGGUUUUGGGAUCGUAAAACUCUGUUUUAAGGGAAGAACGAGUGUGGAAGGGAAAAUUCCCCCCGGGACGGGAAUUUAACAAAAAGGGGAGGCCAACUUCGGG
rnacentral:rRNA from 1 species